UUUUACCCCGUAAGGGCGCUCGCUCAGGUUCUCUUCAGUGAUCGGCUGGAGCUCACAGAGUGAACGUGCAGACGGAUUGUGGCUGAUCAACAAUUCGCCUCCACGUCUCUGGAGCUGCAAAGCCGGAGCCCCGAACGACCCUCUCGAGGCAGGCAGCCUGAAGCCCACCUAGGCGAACCCACCAUCCCCAGGCCGGGUCCUUGCGCUUGGGCCUUGAUCAUCGAGUGCUUUCAUUAAAUCGGCUCCCCGCACAGGUGUGCCAAACAGGAACCCGCGAGGUGUCGCGAGAGGAGGCUCAUUCUCCUUAUUUCCCUGUCUGUGAGGUCAUCUACAGAAUACACUUUGUGCAACUCACGACAAUGUGAAAAAUCCACCUGGCGACACAGAAGAGUAACAUACCUCAUCUAUCGUGGAAGGAGGUGUACUUGAUGGGAAGAACACAUAACGGACACAUCGCAGGAACAGUUUCAGAACGUAAGUGACGACCGGGAUGGACAAUAAGGCAGCACAAAUCCCGGCUAUGAGCCACGUUUUGGAAGUACUUCCUAAAACAGAAAUAAGUGAUGUUUAGCUUCAACAUAAGUUUUGACACGCAAACACGUUAAUAGUGCUGACACUGUGUGCGCAUAACACGUAGCCACGUGAAAGGAAACAUAAAAUGUAUGCAACCAUACACCCUUAGAAAUACUUCUGGUAACACUGAGCAUACAGCAGCUGUAGGCAACCCAUGUCCAUUUAAAGAUGGUGGCCUGGCCAGUGAAGUAAGAGAGGCUUAGUGAAGGAGGCCACGUUGACAUGUGGCUCCCAACGUGCCAAGUAUUCUCUAGCAUUUCUGUAACACACAGCUGGCCUGAUUAAAACCAUUCUGUGACGAGUAAGUAUCUACAAGUCAACACUAGGAACUGGAAAAUACAACAUGGGACUUAACCAUUCCCUCAUAACAAAAUUCACAAUUGAGCUACUGAAGCGAUUUCUGCAUGAUAAUCAUAUUAAGAAUGAUGUAAAAAAAAAAAGUCAAAAAUAGUUUUAUUAAAUGCUAAAGAGUAACUGGUAACAGCAAUUAAUUGUGUGGGUACUGGAAGAAAUUUAACACAUUCAAAAACACUGAACUGUGCAUUAAAAAUAUUUUCUAGGGGUGCCUGGGUGGCUCAAUCGAUUGAGCGUCUGGCUUCCGCUCAGGUCGUGACCUCGUGGUUUGUGGGUUCAAGCCCUGCAUCGGGCUCUGUGCUGCCAGCUCACAGCCUGGAGACUGCUUUGGUUUCUGUGUCUCCCUGUCUCUCUGCCCCUCACCUGCUUGUGCUCUGUCUCUCUCGCAAAAAUAAAACAUUAAAAAGAAAAAAGAAAAGAAAAGAAAAA